GCCCUUUACCCGCCGGGAAGAGCCCUUUCCCUCUUUUUUUGCCUUUCAUCCCGGAGUGUGUUAGUCCUCUAUCCUAAGUAAGGGAGGAAGCCCGUCGCCUGAAGAGGCCCCAACCUAUAACCCGGAGUGGUCUUCACUUGGCACAGUCCUAACCUCACGAAGGAGCUUUUAUCCCGAAGAACUCCAAACCCCUUUCCCCGAGAAAUUCCUUCCCUGCAUGCAUUACCAAGUGCUGCUUACUCCCUCGUCUCCCUCACCCGCCACGCCUGUUCCACUCAGUCCCUACCACUUCUUAACCCGAGAAGUCCCCUUAGCCGCCACCGUGAGGGCCCAGACGCUUUCAUCAAUUGCUUGGUUCGAAGGCCUUGCCAUCGAUUCUAAGACACCCCCUCAUCCACCCACACAAGCAGGAGACUCCCGCCGGGUCAGCCGGUGCACCCGACUCUUUUCCUUUGAGUGGCAUAGCGGAGAGGAAUCAUACCAUGGUUCCAAUGGACAUGUGGCCCAAACCAAGACGGUGAGACUGUUGCCAAGAACCUUCCUGGUACUAUCAAGAAAGCCCUUCCCCUGGGGUCACAGUUGACAGGAUGAACCACCCAGAGUAGCUGGGGACCAUCUCUGCCAUUAGCUUGCUUAUAAGAAUGAAGGACUGGUAAUAUAGCUCAAAGUCAGAAUGGCAAUUAACAAGAAUACAAGCAACAAUAAGUA